rnacentral:rRNA from 1 species
UACGAGGGGGGCAAGCGUUGUUCGGAAUUAUUGGGCGUAAAGGGCGCGUAGGCGGUGCGGUAAGUCUGAUGUGAAAUCUCCGGGCUCAACUCGGAGUCUGCAUCAGAAACUGCCGUGCUUGAGUGUGGGAGAGGUGAGUGGAAUUCCCGGUGUAGCGGUGAAAUGCGUAGAUAUCAAGAGGAACACCUGAGGUGAAGACGGGUUGCUGGGCUGAUACUGACGCUGAGGCGCGAAAGCUAGGGUAGCAAACGGG